rnacentral:rRNA from 1 species
CGAUAGUGAACCAGUACCGUGAGGGAAAGGCGAAAAGAACCCCGGCGAGGGGAGUGAAAAAGAACCUGAAACCGUGUACGUACAAGCAGUGGGAGCACCCUUGUGGUGUGACUGCGUACCUUUUGUAUAAUGGGUCAGCGACUUAUAUUCUGUAGCAAGGUUAACCGUAUAGGGGAGCCGUAGGGAAACCGAGUCUUAACU